rnacentral:lncRNA from 1 species
UUGUCUCUUGAGCGCCCAGCGAGCGGGUAGAAUCGAGUUAGGGUUUCGGCGAGAGACCGCCUGAGCUUGGAGAGCUUUUCCUCGUUGGUGAGGAGGUCGUCUUUGGGGAAAAAGAGGAGGAGGGGCAUGAAGAUGGGGGGCGAGAUCUGGUCGAGGAAGGAGAGGCCAUGGCGGCGGAGGUUGGGAGGCGUCGGAGAAGACGGCUUGAUGGUCUCCGUGUGUUCUACUAUCACAUUCAUCGUUUGAACAGUGUUAUGAGAACUGUCUAGAGUGUUUGGGCUGGAGAUGGUGAUGAUCGAGUGCAAUGGGAAUUAUAUAGAGGACACUAAGGUCCUG